GUGCUCGUUACGGCAGCACAUAUACUAAAAUUGGAUCGAUACAGAGAAGAUUAGCAUGGCCCCU
ensembl:snRNA U6 U6 spliceosomal RNA